AAUGAUAGUUUAGUCGCUUUUCAUUAUAGGUCAUAUGGGACUUUUUUGAUACUCAAAAAGCCCUAUAACCCCUGCAGUGGACUUACCCACUACAGAAAUUAUAGAGCC
rfam:Streptococcus equi subsp. zooepidemicus H70, complete genome